rnacentral:rRNA from 1 species
CCCCAGACUCCUACGGGAGGCAGCAGUGAGGAAUAUUGGUCAAUGGGCGCGAGCCUGAACCAGCCAAGUCGCGUGAGGGAAGACUGCCCUAUGGGUUGUAAACCUCUUUUGUCAGGGAGCAACGCCGGCUACGUGUAGCCGGACUGAGAGUACCUGAAGAAAAAGCAUCGGCUAACUCCGUGCCAGCAGCCGCGGUAAUACGGAGGAUGCGAGCGUUAUCCGGAUUUAUUGGGUUUAAAGGGUGCGUAGGCGGAAUGCCAAGUCAGCGGUAAAAUCGCGGGGCUCAACCUCGCUCCGCCGUUGAAACUGGCGUUCUUGAGUGGGCGAGAAGUACGCGGAAUGCGUGGUGUAGCGGUGAAAUGCAUAGAUAUCACGCAGAACUCCGAUUGCGAAGGCAGCGUACCGGCGCCCAACUGACGCUCAUGCACGAAAGCGUGGGUAUCGAACAGGAUUAGAUACCCGGGUAA